UCUUUCCACACAAAGUGGACACCGUAUUGCACCAAAAACAGCCUCCAGAUUGAUGAUGAAAAUGUCAACCCACUGAAUGGAGACAGCGGUGACUGUGGUGUGGUGACAGACAAAGUGUAUACAGCACCAACUGGCUCUGUGACCUUUACAUUUAAGACUGAUUUUAUUACCCAGACUGGCCAAUUCGACAUCCUUCUGACGGCAUUCUCCGAUAGUCCGUGCGAAUACGGCCGAUUCAAGUGUAACAACGACCACUGUGUCAGCCCGGACCUCAAAUGUAACGGCUACAACGACUGCGGUGACAACUCGGACGAGAACACUGACUGUGGUUCACUGGGAACAGGCCCUAUAGCCGGCAUUGCUGUAGGCGCCAUAGUUUUCAUCGUGAUCGUGGUGGUCCUGGUUCUCGUCGUCAGACACAGGAGAAGGCACUGCGUUACUGAUACCCACUGUCACUCCGGCCCACCAGCGUGUGCUCCAGCAAGCUACCCUUCUCACUUGCAAUAUGGGUACUGAGUCACAGCAAUCUACCCUUCCACCAUGUGCUAUAGACAGACAUUCAUACUCGCAUCAGUGCACACAUGGAUCAGUCGAUUUCGGUCAUGAGAUUCCAGUUUUAAUUUCCUGUGUUCUUGCUCAAAAAACUCAACAAUGACCACAAUGUGCAUUGCUGUGUCAUCCAUAAUCUUCACCGAGGAAUAUAUAAAGUUGGGAUCUGUUGUAACCAUAACUUUAGUUUUUGUUGUCAUUAAAUCCAAAUUGGUGGUGUUGAUUAAUGA